UGUCCAACUACCUGACUGUUCACAUGUAUACGUGUGCAUGUAUGUGCUUAUAUAUAAAAAUUCCACUCAGUAUUUCUCAAUUUUGCUCGGUUUCUGAGAGGCAAGGAAGGACAUUUUGGGCAUCUCUCUUUGUUCGGAGGAGGGCGGCCGCAAGAGCCGAUGCCUCUGCGCGAACAACAUCCCUGACUUUGCCAUGCCGCCGUUCCCAAGAGCUGUUUGCAGUGUCUUUUGAUAAUCCUGGGAGAAGCCAGUUGUCCUACAGAAGCCUGCAGAGGAGCUGUGCAAGCAUCUCCAUUUGCAGGACUGCUGCCUCCCUCAUCCUGUAGUUUUUUAGCUGUCUGCUGGUCCAGCUGAUCUGCCCACUACAGCAUUUCUUGAGUGCACAGUCUGAUGUAGAAAAGACAUACAUAACUGCUGUUAUGGAACAGGUGAGAGUAUCUUUCUAAUUUCUAAUUUCCAUGUUUGUACCAAGCGAAAAAGAAAAAUAGAGAAAUGAUAAC
rnacentral:lncRNA from 1 species